CCUACGGGUGGCAGCAGUGAGGAAUAUUGGUCAAUGGACGCAAGUCUGACCCAGCAACGCCGCGUGAAGGAAGAAUGCUUUCGGGUUGUAAACUUCUUUUAAGGGGGAAGAGCAGAAGACGGUACCCCUUGAAUAAGCCACGGCUAACUACGUGCCAGCAGCCGCGGUAAUACGGAGGAUCCGAGCGUUAUCCGGAUUUAUUGGGUUUAAAGGGUGCGUAGGCGGCCUGUUAAGGCAGCGGUGAAAGUCUGUGGCUCAACCAUAGAAUUGCCGUUGAAACUGGGGGGCUUGAGUAUGUUUGAGGCAGGCGGAAUUCGUGGUGUAGCGGUGAAAUGCUUAGAUAUCACGAAGAACCCCGAUUGCGAAGGCAGCCUGCCAAGCCAUGACUGACGCUGAUGCACGAAAGCGUGGGGAUCAAACAGGAUUAGAUACCCUUGUAGUC
rnacentral:rRNA from 1 species